GGGGAGCGGGCUACCAUGCAGUCGAGCGGGGGAAGUAGCUUGCUACUGGACCUAGCGGCGGACGGGUGAGUAAUGCUUAGGAAUCUGCCUAUUAGUGGGGGACAACAUUCCGAAAGGAAUGCUAAUACCGCAUACGUCCUACGGGAGAAAGCAGGGGACCUUCGGGCCUUGCGCUAAUAGAUGAGCCUAAGUCGGAUUAGCUAGUUGGUGGGGUAAAGGCCUACCAAGGCGACGAUCUGUAACGGGUCUGAGAGGAUGAUCCGCCACACUGGGACUGACACACGCCCCACACCCCUACUGGAGAGCAUCUUUGCGGAAUCAUUGGAUUAUCGGCGGAACCCUG
rnacentral:rRNA from 1 species